AAACCCUAGACUUCAACGGAGGGGAAAAAACAUCCGCGCCGCCUCCCCGCUUGAAACCUUCCCGCGUCUCCUCCUCUCCCGCUCAGCCGCCGCCGCACACCGGCGCUGAGCAGCGCCACACUUCAUCGUCCCCGACUUCACUGUGGCCCCGCGCUUGCUCGUAGCUCUCCUCGCGGCCCAACGAGGCUGGGCGGAGAGGGAUGGCAUGGAGAAGAGGCACAACUUGCCCAUCAUGGUGGUGGCGGAGGAGUGGGAUGCCGCCAUGAUGGGCUGCUGCCAAGGGCACGGCGGCCACCAUGGUGGGUCCAGCCCUCCUCGCCGUCUCCGUCGUCCAUGCGUCUGCGGUUGACAACUGCGUCCAGGGAUGGUAAAUUGGUUAUGAUUAAAAGGAAAUAUAUGCCAUUUGACAGCAGAAAACACUAUGCUCAGCUAUUUAUGUCGUUGUAUAAGAACGGAUGACAAUGGGAUUUGAGGCCAGGGAAGAGGCUAGACGGAAACGCAUUCGGGCCAUUUGUGGCAUGCGGCCGAUGGAGUAGUUCUAGGCUAGGUGGUCGGUUGUGACUAUACAAGCGUCGUUGGGCGGGCACAUGAUGCGUUCUUUGGCGUCUCUUAUCUUCCCUCGAGUCUUCGAGGUGACGAGCCCAUAUUGGCAUUCUUAACCUCAUGGCAGCUAUAUCAGCUCCAUUGCAUGGUGGGUUAUCUAGACUUUGCUUUUUUAGAUGAUUGAUGAGAUUGUACAUCGCUCUCCAACUGUUCUGGCUGGUUUGCUGUUUGGGGAUGAGAAAGAGUCUAGUGACACAUUGCAAAGAAGGCUUUUCUCUGAAGCCUUUUCGAAUGAGGGCACUCAGCCAUUUCUACCCAUCAUUUGUCAAGGAGUCACUGAUGAAAUUGGCAAUUACACCAAGAUAGUGGUGCAUAAGAAGAUAGCUUUUGGGGGCAAUGGUUAUAGAACGCUUCUAGGCCAGAAGCAUCACAUUUAGACUUAGACACUCGUCGACAAUCCAAAAUUGACCCUGAACUGAUAUGCGCACUUGCUAAGCAAGUUGUCCAGGACCAGCUCCAGCUAUAGAUGAACAAGAAAUUGCAGGAGCUGAAGGGCGCCAACAAACCUUCAGACGUCGAAACUUAGUGUGCAAGGCCUUGGGAUGGUCAGGUAGUUGUGAACUAACGCCCUGCCAGCCUUGAUGCACACGGCACACAAAGGCAAAAAGAUUGGUGAAAUUUCCUUGGCUAAUAUAGUAUUAUUUUUCAAGCCUGGCAGGGUACAUUGGGUGAUUUAACCGUGGCGCGGUAGGCGGCCGUGCAGAUGUGCGGUGGGAUUGAGGUCGACGAUUGCUGCAGCGGCUGGCGGAAAACGGCGGCUGUAGCGGUUCGUUGCCUCGUCCUCUUCUCUCUCCCACCAGCCCAGCACCAUUCCCUCUCUCACACAUUCUUCCUGGUCUAUUUUUUGCACCUCGUGAGAAGGAGGGGGGCGGCUUCAGCGGAAGGACCAGGUGGAGUCUGGCGCGUAAGGGAGCAAGCUGGAAGGGCCGAUUGUUUUGGGGGUCUGGUUGUUGCUGUUCUAGGUUGACUACCACAUCAACUAAGUUGCGUCCUCCUGCAAAGUAUCAAGCGCCAUCAUGUCUCCCUCCCAUCAAGCACCACCAAGGCAGCAAGAUAUAGCUGAGAAGCUACCGCAAUACCGCAGAUGGAUUCUUGAAUUCACUAAAGAUAUUGGUUGUUCCUCCUCGCCCAAUUUAUCAAUAGGCUGGCAACUUCACUGAGAUACAUGACAAAUUAUCUCUGCUAUAGGUGUUUAGCUAUGAAAGGAGAUGAUUCCCCUGAAGGUGACAAGUUUUCGUAUUGGUUAUUCCUUGUUCUGCCUGGUGAUCCGCUAGGUUCUCUAGCCAUUCUCACUACCUGUGAAUUCAGGAUCAGGUUUGAGCAUACACAUAUCUAGAAGUCUAGGUAGUAGGCAAAGAGACUGAUGAUGAGCUUCUGAACUAGAGAGUGCAACAAGUGAAGAAUGAGAGGCUCUUUUAUCGAGAUUCAGUCUGAGCUGUUGAGCUGCCUGACGAAGCUGGAGAAGUUGUCGCGCGUGAAAGGUGGAGGGGUCCCGGACGACGAAGCUGCU